CUUUCGUUAGUGUUCACGUGUUUGAUAUCACUUCAUGAAAAUAAACAUAUUGAUAUAUGAAUCGUUAAGAAGUAUCUACUACAAUAUUAUAUACUUACUAGUAGACCAUAUUUUAUAUUAACGGAUAAUAAACGAUGCAGAUUGUAAUGAUAUUACUGCGAGAUGGGAGUAAACUUUAAUAUGGUGUAUCGUGUUAUACUUUUUCGUUUGAUUGGGUAUCGUCAUCUCGCGAGUCCACUAUUGUUGACUUCACGUAACAAACACACUGAUAUACGAGUACGCUGUAUUUCAGGCAAAAGUCUAGGUAAUUUGAUUGAGGACGCGUUUUGGAACGUUAAUUGCGCAGAAGGAUGCGCAGAAGGAUGCGCAGAACGUCUGUCAGGUGGUAAACGUCGAGAGUGUGAUUUCAGAAAUUUGUUGGAGUUAUUUUUGAUGCUCGAGGCGGCGGCAGUCGAGGAAAAUUUACUACGCUGCGGAGAAUCAUGUCGGUUGGUCAACAACACAGAAUUCACGACGCUAGCGAAAUCGACAUAACCAAUUGAUUGGAGAUCUAAACAUACAAACAACAAGCAAGAUUUAACAAAAGAAGUCGAAAAUCACUUGGGAAUCUUUGACAGCAUCGCUGACGGGAUUUCAGAGGUUCCUCAAGAUAAUGAUACUACACAAGCAAGGGGAUUUGAAGAAAUCUUCUGUUGCCUGUCCUUUCUUCCACGUUUACAAAAACGUUCUACAAUUGGAACUAUUGGAACUAAGGAAGAAUUGGAACUAACUGGAAAACAAGACAGCUCCUUAUAAUUUCCCUGGUCGACCUCUCUAUAAUCCAUAAAAGUUGGCGUGGCUUAGGUUUUAAAACUGGUUCCGAUUGUCGAAUAGAGCUGUGACGCGCGAGAGUAUCCACGGCCAGACAUGUUUGGAGUUCGGACUUGUCGAGAGGCGCGGAUGCGUAAAGGUGGACAUGACACUAGGAAACUAAAUACCGGUCGACCGAUCCUAUGAUCCCCGCAGAGAGUUUGACCGCUGUCAAAAAGCAUUGGCCCGUCUGGACCUAUCUCACUUAAUUUUCGUUAAAGUCACCGAAUCGGGGAUUGGAUCGUCGACAGUCCGGAAUCGUCUUACCAGUAUCUUUCUCUAUUCACACUGAGCAUCGUGUCGAUCGAUAGUAACGAUGGUUUAGAAUAGAUUGGACCCGAUUUCAUAAGAGGAAAUCUGUAGACGUAAUACGAAAGUGUGUCUCUUAGUGCUGUCACCUUAAUACUUCUUCACUUGAAUUUGAAUACUCGCAAACAAUACAUGAACAGUUUGUUGUCUAUUUGUCAUCUUUUUUACAUACUGUUCGUAAAUAUGUUUGUGAAAUAAGUUAUGUGAUAUCACUUACUGUAAGUGUUCGUCUUAAGAAAUCGUUAAAUUGUUCAUAUUUUCAUUUGAAUUUCUUUUUUUCAGGUUGAACAUUGAAGUUCAAAUGACGAUAAAAACGUACAACUACAGAUUUAUACAGAAGAUGACAACCUUUCUUAUUACUCUCGGAUACAUCAUGGCUUUCAUCACCCAUAUGUUAUCGCGGUCCAAUUAAAAUUCAGAUUUACUGGCGGCAGACGUAGUAGCAAUAUUAAGGAUCAGGGAACCAUUUCACGAGCGAAGACGACGUUUCGUUCUCCGUAACCCCUUGCACGGUUAAUGAAGAGUUCGCUAUAUCCCGGGAUGGCAGCUGACGUUGCAUUCAUGCAUGAGAGUGCCGCGUCCCGGUCAUUUGGCCUGUGGUGCGACUAAAAACAAGGCAGCGCUCUCGAGUUUUGUCCCAUCGGUGGCCGGUAACGCGCCUUCCAUGGGGACCAGCAGCAAAAGAAAAUUUCAAAGGGGACCAUCGACCCGCUGGCCCACACAUCGAGUUGCCGGAACAUGCGGAUUAAGCCAUUAAAGCCUGCUUCAAGCUGUUUCGGGGAAAUUCACGAGACAGAGAGUUCGUUAUUGUUACUCUGUCACAAGCAAAACUGCUGUCCGUUUGUUUCGAUACAUGCGACGAAUGAACCGUCGUGUCGCCAAGAGAUUAUUAUUGAACCUGCACAUUGAUUCUCUUGCUAUAGGAUAAGGGAGAGAUAUUUGAGUCAAGCUAAGUAAUUCGCCAAAUUAUUUUGUUUACCAACAAUUUGUACGACUUACAUUUGAAAACACAUUAUUUUAACUGACGUGGUAUAUCCUUGUUAAUUCAAAUAGGGUUAUUAUAUAUAUAGGCUACCAUAGGGUUAUUUGAAUCAUUUUCUCAUGCAUAAGCAUGUAUGAUAUUUUCUCAUUCUUUCCUUAUUAUAUCCAAGAUUAAUCACAUUUCAUUUGAUUAUUCCAUGCAAAAUUAAAAAUUAAAUUUUAAGAUGUUGAAGAUAUUGACACAAGUAACCCUAACUUACUACCAUACCUAGCUUUAAUAUUCAUAAUUCUACUUUUAAGUUAUGUUCUGAUGUGCAUAUAACAAUCAAGUACUGAUGUGUUUGUGUAAUCCACCCUUCGGUUUAAUUUCGUGAUUUUCAGUAAAUUUUCAAUAAAAUGUCUAUGCACAUCUUUCAUGUACUAAGAGAUACCUUGAUGUUUAUUUGAAAUUUCUACGAAGAUUCUUAUCGACUCCUCAAGCUCGUAAAAGUAUGCCUUCGUUUCACCGCGUGAAACGACCAACAAAUUACACAACGGUCAGACUUUUACUUGAAUGAGCAAAGAACCGCGAGAACAGCGAUGGUCAAGCACGCGCGAGACCUUCCACGAGAUAAUUUAUUGGUCAAUCAAAAUGACGCAUGGAGGUAUAAGGUGACACGUCAGCGUGCACGGUUGACCAUUAAUUUUAAUACCCGUCACCAUCAGAUCUCCCGACGCUGCUUUCCACGUUGGCUCCCCACUGACGGUGGAGCGUAUCCAUCGGCAUCGGCUACCGUACGACUAAUGCUCCGUUCACUAACGACGAUCAUCCUUGAAGAUCUCGGUCUACCGAUCUCUCACGGUCGCCACGAAUUAUUAUCCUUCUCUUAAUCCUGCGUAGCUGACCCGCCGCACCACCCUAUCGGGUGGCGAUUUCAAUAAUGGAACAAAUCGAAGGAUUAAGCUUUUUGAAUAUAUAGAAAAAAAUUGGGGAACUUAGAGAAACAAACAAAUUUUCGAAACGGAGUUAGAGAUUAGACAUCAUCUUUUAUGUACAACUUCCACAAAAUAACAGCAAAAGAAAUGAUCGUGAAUAUAAUACACUGAUAAAGAGACAAGAGGAUAACGAAGAAAAACGAAAAGCGGAAUAAACCAAUAAAUACCUACAAUCUUGUGAAAAAUCAUGCAAUUAAGAUACGAUCAGACGAAAGCUGCGAGCUGCCGUCCGAAUAUAUCAAUGGUACGCCAAGAACGCGUCGAGAGGUAUGCAAGCACGGUGCUUAUCUGGUGUCCGAGGCGCGCAACUAGAGAAUUCUAGGACGUUAUUUACGGCUGAUUAACAGGCUCAAUAAUUCCCUUCCGCAUUACUUUAUUGAGUCCCAUGGCCCACGCGCGAUUUGCCUGCGAUUUAUGACGCAAGAUAAACCGAUACCACUGCCUCCUGAUCGGCUCGUUCUAUUGGGCUGAUCUCGUAUGUAAACAGAGGCCGAACCAAACUGACCGGUAAUCUCCGACGAAUUUGCAUCUGGUUCUUUUUCUAAACAGUUCGAGCGAACCAGGUAAUAUGCAGCGUGUUGCAUGCAUAAAAGGGAAACACGCAUACGUUGAAACGACGAAACAGAAUUGUCUUUCACGAGGAUCAAAUCGUGCGACUCCCGUGAAACGGAAACCAUUUGUUUCCCAACGAUUCAGGGAUUAUUCCAGCCGCAUCUGUUUAACGCGCAUCAUCAACGUUUCAAUCGGUAACACCAGCAUCUACGGUCAACAUCUAAUCCCUAUUCGUUUCAUCGACUAUUCCAAAGUGGCGGAGUAUACGUCAACGUGAAAUGAAUCACGGUAUGCUGACGGUUCUCGAGACGGAUGCAUAAUUUCGAGGCUCGAAGCUCCCAAGGCUGGUUCCUGUCCCCGCCGCGUUACAGAAGGCGCACACGGUUGCUCAGGAAUGUCGAACGGGUCGGUCACAGGGUUAAUGUUUGCUGCCUCCUCACGUGCCUCUGACUUUUCUCCCUGGUUGUAUCUCAUUUGUAAAGAUUCCGGGACAAAGGAGCCACCAAGAACCGUUUGUGUGGCUUCGCGGCUCGCUUCACCCAUAAGUAGUCUCGACUUGGGCCAUGUACGCCUGCCGGACAGACAGAAGCGCGAGUCUGUCAAGUGGCGCGAUUAUAAUCUGACAGGGACGUAUCGGUUGCCGGCCUUUCUUCCCGAUUCCGAGCAAUCGACAAUAUAUUUUGGAGUCAAGCGUUACUAGGUGCCGAGCAUCGAAUAUUUCCAUGACUUACAAGUGACGUAUCGCAUUACAAACAGGGCCAAAUAUUUAUUUUUACGUAUACGUCGCAUGCGAAGGACAUACUGCACGAAAUAUUUGUUAUUGCAUAUUAUGAUUUACACUCACUUUAAGGUUGUCAAGUUUAAUUACAAUGCCUUAUUUCAGAAUGUACGUGUAAGUAAUCGAAUUUAUGAGAAUCGAUGGAGUUGAGCCUACGUUUGAUGUUCACGAGAUAUCGUUUAAAUUCAACUGAUGAAAUAUUACGGGAUGGUUCAGGUACGUUCCCGAAAGCGAGGCUGAUCCUUCGGACAUCCUGGACGAUCCUUGGCCGACAACCUUUGGGCUCCAUUAUCGAAAAAGAAAAAUGGGCACACCAAUACACGAAGAAACCAAUGAAAUUAUUUAUUCUCCAACGUCGACGAACUCUAUCUUCGAUCUUCUUAUUUCCGACCCUAACGAUGGCUAUCUAACUUCAACAUGAUUUCAACUUUUCAUCGGUAAGUUGACUUAAAAGCUUCGACUCUACUAUGAAUUUUCAAUUUUCAGGGACAAAUUCGUACAAACGUCGCGAGUUUCUCAUACUUGCAAGGAUCGUCUACGACCUAUCUUCUGAACGAUUCGUGGGAGAGACGUAACAAGGGAGGUUGAAACAACGCUAGCGGAGGUUAAAUGAUGUAUAAAGUGCGUUAACCGACACCACUCACCGUGCAACACACGCAUAUCGCGUUCACGGUAUAAACGUAGGCGUGGCUGGUUUGAUAUCAACGAUGGCCACCUUUCGACUGUAAAUCAAUCGAUAUCACGCCGGCAGGAGGGGCUUUUCAUAGGGUUUGCACGGGCCUGAAAUACGACUCGAGGGUGGAAGCAUGCGCCAAAUGCUGAAUGUGAAUCGACCCGCCCCGAAACCUUUUAUCCCGACACCGAUCGCCUCUCGCCACUGUCUUUCUCUCUCGCCUACCCACCGGUUCGCCAGUGUCGCGCCGAUAAAUUUCGAUAAACAUCUGGCUCGAUUGAUUCCGUUCCCGGUGUUAAUUAGCUCGCGUCUAGUACCGCUUUCACAGCAUCGAUCGAUUCCGCCGCGUUAAUGUCUUGAGAUCGCGAUCACCUUGUCUCUCGUUUCUUCUUUAGAGAUCUUUUAAUUGGAUUGUUUAUCGAGAUUGUUUGCUCUCUUUCAUUUCUUUUCUUAUUUUUUCCUCAUUAAGGUGGAUUUUCAGUUUCCUUUCCCAUUUAUGAACGGAAAUACUUUAAUUUCCUUUUAUUUAUCAUAGUUUACUUAAGUAAAUAGUUGGAACUUUGUAGAAUUAUAAUUAUAUUAUUAGGAACUCUAUACAAUAUUGACUGGACGUUUGUAUCUUUGAUUAAUAAUCAUUGAUACCACUUAUUACAAAACUGAAAUGUUAUUUCAAUAUGCACAGAUAUGUAAACUUGGAGUAUACAAUUUUUAUGAAAUACUGUUCCGAAAUUAAAUUUUGACCAGGGUCGAUUCUUGAUGGUUUACAACGAGGAUUUUAAUGCAACUUAUCUCUUCAAUGGGACCUAAUUUUGAGACAGUAGAUUGACUGCUGAGGAAACUAGUGAAUUAUUGAACUUUAAUGUUGACAUCAUCUAUCGGAGUACGUUUAAAGUACUGUUUUGUUAGUUUUGUUAAAAUUGUUAGUUUUGUCUUUAGCCUAGUGUAAUUCAGUUCUUGAAAAGAAUUUUUAAGUUUAAUAUGCCCCGUAUCUAUAAGCAAACAUCAAAUUCCAAGUUUCAGUAUAUUGCUAUCUCAUGCAAAGUCGAAGCCUUUGAUCUUGUAAAAAAGGGCCGUAUCUUAUUCGCUUAUUAGAAACGGAACCGCCGUUAAUUACUUGGAUAAUUCGGUUCAUUGGUGCCGCGUAAUUAUUUAAUCGACUAUUUAUCAGUCCGCAGCAUCGUCGGUGUAUUUGUACAAACGUUUGAAUAAGGUUUAUCCUGACCGGCGACUAAACCAUACAAUCAAGGAAUUAUCUAGGAGCAAAGGAACAGGAUGGAUGUUGAAGAUAGAACAAGUAUACGUUGAUACGUGGCUCAUGAUAGUGGGAAUAUUUAAUUCGAUCUUUAAAUAAUUCUUACAAGGUAUAAGUGCCCGAUAUUGUAUCGAGCCUUCCGUAUUAGCAUAGGUAAAUAAAUAACUAAGUUAUUUUUAAACAGUCUAUCGAGACGACGUUCUCGCUAAGUUGCACUUUAUUUACACGACAAUUUAUAUCAAUCUUUUUUAUAUAUACAUAUACGUAUAUAUAUGUAUAUUUAUAUAUAUAUAUACCUAUACAUAUACUUUGUUUCUAUUUACUCUUCUUCAUACAUACAUAUAUGUAUAAUGUUUUCUAUUGCACGUCGCAAUCGUACGAUAUCUUACAUUUUUACAAUAAAUUAACGAAACGAAACUAGGACUUUACAUUUU